UCAUUGGUUGCAGUCUGUGGUAUUUGUUUAUGAUUAAAACAGGCUGUUUGUUUCACAAUAUGUCAUGUACAUGUAUUGGCCUUUAAUUGCUGACUAUAAGGUAUGGAUAUUGUUCAAUAUUGAUGUCCAUACCAUGACCUAUAGUUAUUUACUCCCACCUCAUUUGGACUCUUGUGUAUAGUUGUUGCAUAUGCAAUCAUACCACAUCUCCUUAUUUUUAAAUUGAAUAAUUUUACUCUUUUUGUCAUUUCAGGGGCAAAAUAAUAGCUCUUAUUAUACUUUCCUUUUAAAGGUUUUGUAAACUUUAAAACCUAAUGUGCAUUUUGAUUUAGGAAAAAAAAAUUAAGACCCAUUCAAUUUCACCUCAACCUCCAAAAAGUACAUAUUUUGACUUGUGACGAAUAUAAUGUGAAUUCAUUUAUUUUGUGAGUACCAAUUUAUCACGGAUUGAGGGAAGAUUGAAUGUUUGUUGAUCCCUAAAUUUUUGGUUUGCCAUAAAUUGAAUACCAGCCUAUAAUGAAGCUGUACAUUGUUGAACACUUAAUUCACAGUUCACCUCAUUAAAAUGUUAACUCACAAACAUUAAUGAACCCACAAUGUAUGUUUUGAUAUAGGACUACAGUAAGUUUGGGAUCAUUCAAAAUUUUUAGUCCGUUCAAUACAGAUCUAGUAAUAUCAAAUGAAAUAGGAUAAUUUCCAAUUUAUUCAGUGUACAUAUAAAAAUGACUACUAACACAAAUUUAAAGUACUUUCCUUUACCAUGCCUAUUUAUCAUAUUAAAUCAUACAAAAAUAAAUCAUCAUUUAAUAUUUAUAAAUGUACUGAACCAGAGUUUGGAAAUUUUUUCUCAAUCUUUCUUUAUACUAUUUCAUGACUCGUAGAUUUUAUUUCAAACUUAACCCCCUCCCUCCCCCCAAC